UUACAACAUGUUCAAUAUAGUUCCCUGUGCUAUAUAUACCAGGACCUCUGGUUUUUUAGCCGAGCACAUGGCUGGCUGGCUGGGAUAAAGACUGCAUCUGUUAGCUUCCCUGCAUGUGGGCAUGACCAUGUGACUGCUUUCUAGCCUAUGAGAUAGCCAUUAGUUGACAACUAGUAUUUCAUCUUGUGAAGAAACAUUUUUCCAAAGAGCCCAGGCUCCGGACGCGCAGGCUCAGCGACCACG